rnacentral:rRNA from 1 species
GACGAACGCUGGCGGCGUGCUUAACACAUGCAAGUCGAGCGGAGCGGCGAACGGGUGAGUAACGCGUGAGUAACUGCCCCCCUCUCUGGGAUAACAGUUGGAAACGGGUGCUAAUAACGGAUAGUGGGGGAUGACUCGCGUCCUAUCAGCUUGUUGGUGGGGUAGGGGCCUACCAAGGCGACGACGGGUAGCCGGCCUGGGAGGGCGACCGGCCACAUUGGGCUGAGAUAGGGAGCAAAGUCGUACGGGGGGCAGCAGUGGGGAAUCUGGCACAAUGGGGGAAAGCCUGAUGCGGCAACGCCGCGUGCGGGAUGUCGGCCUUCGGGUUGUAAACCGCUUUCAGCUAUGACGCGGUAGUGGCAGAAGAAGCACCGGCUAACUACGUGCCAGCCGCCGCGGUAAUAC